rnacentral:ncRNA from 1 species
UUUAUCAAGAGAGGUGGAGGGACUGGCCCGUUGAAACCCAGCAACCAGCAUAAUUAUAUGUAAUGGUGCUAAAUCCUGCAGUAUUUUACUGGGAGAUAA